rnacentral:rRNA from 1 species
UAGGGAAUCUUCGGCAAUGGGGGCAACCCUGACCGAGCAACGCCGCGUGAGUGAAGAAGGUUUUCGGAUCGUAAAGCUCUGUUGUAAGAGAAGAACGUGUGUGAGAGUGGAAAGUUCACACAGAGACGGUAACUUACCAGAAAGGGACGGCUAACUACGUGCCAGCAGCCGCGGUAAUACGUAGGUCCCGAGCGUUGUCCGGAUUUAUUGGGCGUAAAGCGAGCGCAGGCGGUUUAAUAAGUCUGAAGUUAAAGGCAGUGGCUUAACCAUUGUUCGCUUUGGAAACUGUUAAACUUGAGUGCAGAAGGGGAGAGUGGAAUUCCAUGUGUAGCGGUGAAAUGCGUAGAUAUAUGGAGGAACACCGGUGGCGAAAGCGGCUCUCUGGUCUGUAACUGACGCUGAGGCUCGAAAGCGUGGGGAGCAAACAGG